GCCUUUUCCUUAAAAAAAAAUAUGAAUCUCAUCCUCUUCCCUCUCUCCCUCACGACUUCUGGCCUUAGAUUCAGGCCUCCGCCGCACCACCUCCACGGCCGGUGGCCGGAGUUGCGCGAAAUGGGCUUUUCAGCCCUCCUUUCAGUGUCCUCGAAGGCUAGGCCUUCUCAACCGAGGGACUGAGUAUAAAAGGAAAAGACUUUCCUCCCCGUUCGACUCCGGUGACGGCGAAGGAGGGCUCCGACUCCGGCUUCCGAAACCAACAGGUAUUUUCUUUUUUAGUUUCGUUUUCGUUAAGAAAGAUUGUAGAAAAAC
rnacentral:lncRNA from 1 species